ensembl:lncRNA
GGAUUUCAGGACCACGGAGAGCUCCACAAAGUCUUCUUGUUUAGCAUAGUAAACCUAAAUCAAGAGUUUUUCAAACCAAGGAGACUCAAGGGAGAGCUAAAGGAAGUUUGUGGAAAGGUUUAGAGAAAAAAUAAUUUAAAUGUACUGAAAUAUACGUUUUAUCAUUGAACAUUCUAUUUUAUACAGGUGAUUAAUUACAAGUAUUUUAUUCUACAUGUUAUUUUUCACCUAUGAUUCAGGUCUUGAUACCUAUAUAGACCUGAACAUAUGAAAAUAUAUGCCUUUUAUAUUUUAGGAAGGUGAACCCUCACAAAUAAGAGGUCAUUAUAUUGGGCGCCGUGACAUCAAAGUUUGAAAACCCCUGAGAAUAACAUGCCUAAUGUGGAUUUAGAUCAUGAUGGUCUACUUUGUUCGGCUGGUGUUGAGCAGGUGCUAACAGAUCUUUGGGAUGAUAUUGAGAGUUCCUUCAUGUCAGAGAGUGAAUUGAAAUCACCAUGACAUAUUGGUCUGACCUACUGAACUCCCGCUGUGGAGCUUGAGUAGAGGGCGAUUUGGCUGUGUGGGAGAAAUGCCAUGAGACAUCCACUCAACGCUGGAGUUCAAUUCACUUCAAUAUUGCAGAAACAGAACAUAAUCUGCCUUCUCAUCUCCACUGCCCUUCACUCAAUGGCGGACAUGGGAAUCGUUUCCACUGAUGAGGAAAAGCAAGAACUCCACCUCGCCGCCCUCCACCUCUCCGGUUAAUUUUCAGAAGGCUUGAUUUAAUAAGGUAAGUGUAAAUGAUUUACACAAUCUCUGAUCUUUCAUCUUAUUCAUGUGUACUAUUACUAUUAUUUGACUAUUUGAAAUAAAUGCUGGUAUUUUGAACUUUAAAAGAAUCCU